GAUGGAUGUAUGGGCGCUGAACCUCAAAGGCGGAGGGCUCGUCUGGGGGCCGGUCAAGAAGCACCGGAAGGCGGAGCUACUGGUGCUGCGGCAGACGCCGAGCUGGAGGGCGACCGUCGGCGAGGACGGCGGCGGGGGGUUCGAGAUCAGGAUUCCGGCGACGAGUCGUCGCUCGUCGUCGCUCGUUGUGCGGGCGGCGGGGAAGAAGAGGAAGGACGACAACUCGCCCCCUUCAGGAGAUAACAACCCCUCUAUUCCUGAUGGAGAUGGCUCUGAGGG
rnacentral:misc_RNA from 1 species